rnacentral:rRNA from 1 species
GCUGAACUUAAGCAUAUCAAUAAGCGGAGGAAAAGAAACUAACAAGGAUUCCCCUAGUAACUGCGAGUGAAGCGGGAAAAGCUCAAAUUUAAAAUCUGGCAGGCUUUUUGACUGUCCGAGUUGUAAUCUAGAGAAGUGCUUUCCGCGYUGGACCGUGUACAAGUCU